rnacentral:rRNA from 1 species
GAUGAACGCUGGCGGCGUGCCUAAUACAUGCAAGUCGAGCGAACGGACGAGAAGCUUGCUUCUCUGAUGUUAGCGGCGGACGGGUGAGUAACACGUGGAUAACCUACCUAUAAGACUGGGAUAACUUCGGGAAACCGGAGCUAAUACCGGAUAAUAUUUUGAACCGCAUGGUUCAAAAGUGAAAGACGGUCUUGCUGUCACUUAUAGAUGGAUCCGCGCUGCAUUAGCUAGUUGGUAAGGUAACGGCUUACCAAGGCAACGAUGCAUAGCCGACCUGAGAGGGUGAUCGGCCACACUGGAACUGAGACACGGUCCAGACUCCUACGGGAGGCAGCAGUAGGGAAUCUUCCGCAAUGGGCGAAAGCCUGACGGAGCAACGCCGCGUGAGUGAUGAAGGUCUUCGGAUCGUAAAACUCUGUUAUUAGGGAAGAACAUAUGUGUAAGUAACUGUGCACAUCUUGACGGUACCUAAUCAGAAAGCCACGGCUAACUACGUGCCAGCAGCCGCGGUAAUACGUAGGUGGCAAGCGUUAUCCGGAAUUAUUGGGCGUAAAGCGCGCGUAGGCGGUUUUUUAAGUCUGAUGUGAAAGCCCACGGCUCACCGUGGAGGGUCAUUGGAAACUGGAAAACUUGAGUGCAGACCAUGAAAGUGGAAUUCCAUGUGUAGCGGUGAAAUGCGCAGAGAUAUGGAGGAACACCAGUGGCGAAGGCGACUUUCUGGUCUGUAACUGACGCUGAUGUGCGAAAGCGUGGGGAUCAAACAGGAUUAGAUACCCUGGUAGUCCACGCCGUAAACGAUGAGUGCUAAGUGUUAGGGGGUUUCCGCCCCUUAGUGCUGCAGCUAACGCAUUAAGCACUCCGCCUGGGGAGUACGACCGCAAGGUUGAAACUCAAAGGAAUUGACGGGGACCCGCACAAGCGGUGGAGCAUGUGGUUUAAUUCGAAGCAACGCGAAGAACCUUACCAAAUCUUGACAUCCUUUGACAACUCUAGAGAUAGAGCCUUCCCCUUCGGGGGACAAAGUGACAGGUGGUGCAUGGUUGUCGUCAGCUCGUGUCGUGAGAUGUUGGGUUAAGUCCCGCAACGAGCGCAACCCUUAAGCUUAGUUGCCAUCAUUAAGUUGGGCACUCUAAGUUGACUGCCGGUGACAAACCGGAGGAAGGUGGGGAUGACGUCAAAUCAUCAUGCCCCUUAUGAUUUGGGCUACACACGUGCUACAAUGGACAAUACAAAGGGCAGCGAAACCGCGAGGUCAAGCAAAUCCCAUAAAGUUGUUCUCAGUUCGGAUUGUAGUCUGCAACUCGACUACAUGAAGCUGGAAUCGCUAGUAAUCGUAGGUCAGCAUGCUACGGUGAAUACGUUCCCGGGUCU